rnacentral:rRNA from 2 species
UACGUAGGGAGCAAGCGUUGUCCGGAAUUACUGGGCGUAAAGGGUGCGUAGGCGGCAUAUUAAGUCAUAUGUGAAAACCCCAUGCUUAAGAUGGGAGGUGCAUGUGAAACUGGUAUGCUAGAGUACAGGAGAGGUAAGUGGAAUUCCUAGUGUAGCGGUGAAAUGCGUAGAUAUUAGGAGGAACACCAGUGGCGAAGGCGGCUUACUGGACUGAAACUGACGCUGAGGCACGAAAGCGUGGGGAGCAAACAGG